rnacentral:rRNA from 1 species
AACGAACGCUGGCGGCAUGCCUAACACAUGCAAGUCGAACGAGACCUUCGGGUCUAGUGGCGCACGGGUGCGUAACGCGUGGGAACCUGCCUUUAGGUUCGGAAUAACUCAGAGAAAUUUGAGCUAAUACCGGAUGAUGUCUUCGGACCAAAGAUUUAUCGCCUUUAGAUGGGCCCGCGUUGGAUUAGCUAGUUGGUGGGGUAAAGGCCUACCAAGGCGACGAUCCAUAGCUGGUCUGAGAGGAUGAUCAGCCACACUGGGACUGAGACACGGCCCAGACUCCUACGGGAGGCAGCAGUGGAGAAUAUUGGACAAUGGGCGAAAGCCUGAUCCAGCAAUGCCGCGUGAGUGAUGAAGGCCUUAGGGUUGUAAAGCUCUUUUACCCGAGAUGAUAAUGACAGUAUCGGGAGAAUAAGCUCCGGCUAACUCCGUG